CCUACGGGGGGCAGCAGUGAGGAAUAUUGGUCAAUGGCCGGAAGGCUGAACCAGCCAAGCCGCGUGAAGGACGAAGGUGCCAAGCAUUGUAAACUUCUUUUGUCAAGGGACAAAAUCAGGCUCGAGAGCCUGACCGAGGGUACUUGAAGAAAAAGCAUCGGCUAACUCCGUGCCAGCAGCCGCGGUAAUACGGAGGAUGCGAGCGUUAUCCGGAUUUAUUGGGUUUAAAGGGUGCGUAGGCGGACUGUUAAGUCAGCGGUAAAAGCCCGGGGCUCAACCCCGGCGAGCCGUGGAAACUGGCGGUCUUGAGAUGUCGGGAGGUAUGCGGAAUGCGCAGUGUAGCGGUGAAAUGCUUAGAUAUUGCGCAGAACUCCGAUUGCGAAGGCAGCAUACCGGCGGCGAUCUGACGCUGAGGCACGAAAGCGUGGGUAUCGAACAGGAUUAGAUACCCGGGUAGUC
rnacentral:rRNA from 1 species